UGGGAACCAAUUUGGGAAAGGAAGAAAAGAAAACAGCAGAAAAAUGAAAACACAAAUAUUAUGAAAAAGCAGAGGCAGACAUUUAUUGUCAGGGCUAGAAAUCAGAUAUUGGGCUAGUUUCUGAUCCAGCUUUGUAUUCUUACAAGGUGGGAAGGGAGAAAAAGGAAGGGGCACAAUAAACCAGGGAAAUUGUAAUAAGUACUGUCAUCUCAUUAGUUGUGUAGGAGGACAUGAGAACUGAAACGUAGGUGGGAAGAAGAGUGUUGUGACAAGCCUUAAAAGUGAGGACAAAAAGUUAGAACUUUCCUGCUAAGAGAAACCAGGAUUUGGCUGUAAAGAGGAACUAACUCAGUAAGUGUGGCAAGAAAAUAAUAUGCUUUUGACAGCAGCAAGUUUGAUGCACUGAAAAAGAGCAAAUUUGGAUGCAGAGGAGGAUUGCAGCAAGUGCGGUAUAUCACACACAAGGGAAUAUUUUUUGGUAAGAGAAGAUGGAGACCUUGCGGUGGAAGCAAAGAGAAGACCCAGUGAUGUUUCUCCCAUUGGUUUGAUUGCUUGAGCACUGCCACCUCAGUUCUUCAUAAACUCAAUAUAUAGACCUGAAAGAAUAAGGUAGAACCUAAAUCAGAUUUACACAGCCAGCCUGCACAGUACACUGUAAGGACUACGAUGAAGUAGGGAACAAGUACUGGCGGGAAACCAUAAGCAUGUCAGAUGGAAAAAGAGUUUAGAAGAUGGGAGCCCACAGGGAAGAGACAACUAAGGCACAGAAGAGCAUGUGGAAGA